UACGUAGGGUGCGAGCGUUGUCCGGAUUUAUUGGGCGUAAAGAGCGUGUAGGCGGCCAGGUAGGUGGGUUGUGAAAACUGGAGGCUCAACCUUCAGACGUCGACCCAAACCCCCUCGGCUAGAGUCCGGAAGAGGAGAGUGGAAUUCCUGGUGUAGCGGUGAAAUGCGCAGAUAUCAGGAAGAACACCCGUGGCGAAGGCGGCUCUCGUGGGACGGUACUGACGCUGAGACGCGAAAAGCGUGGGGGAGCGAACAGG
rnacentral:rRNA from 1 species